rnacentral:lncRNA from 1 species
CGCCCCCUUGCCUUUUCCGGCUUGCUUUUCGCCGGUUCUAGCCCUAGCCCAAGUUCCACGUCGCCGCCGCCUGCCGAGCCGGCUCCCUGGAACAGCAAAGUGCACCCGUCGAUGCCCACUUCAGCCCCGGAAUCAUUGACGACCUGAGUCCUCCGGGUUUCCUAGAACGGCUCCGGGGAUGAACUUCCGCUCCGCGAUCUGCCGCUCUGCGCCCUCGUGUCGCUCCCCAAGCAUUGCUCUAGGCUCAAGAACUCGAGAAUCCGCUUCGCAUUCCCGCGGGGACCGUUUGCGCGACCCUUUUAACUCUCCCAACCCGCAUCGUUCUUAUCCCAUCCUUCCUUUCCACAGACUCCGUGGGUCUGAUAAGCACAGGGCUGCAGAUCCUGGGAACAGGUCUCUCCUCGGCGGGAGCGAAGGGAGACAUGCUUUGAGUUCCGGAAGGGCUUGCAGGAGUGACGUUUGGCCUGAAAUCUCAAGAUUGCGUGGGAAUUACCAAGGCCCAGAAAUCACUUUCUGUUUCCCUACUCA